rfam:Myotis brandtii contig208631, whole genome shotgun sequence.
GGUAGUUCUUGGGUGACACACCCCAGAAUUAGGCUCCCUCCUCUCUGAUUCCGGAGUGCACCACCCAAGAACCGCU